rnacentral:rRNA from 1 species
ACGCUAGCGAUAGGCUUAACACAUGCAAGUCGAGGGGCAGCAUGGUCUUAGCUUGCUAAGACUGGUGGCGACCGGCGCACGGGUGCGUAACGCGUAUGCAACUUGCCUCACAGAGGGGGAUAACCCGUCGAAAGACGGACUAAUACCGCGUACACUCUAUGUUGGGCAUCCAAUGUAGAGGAAAUGAACUUCGCUGUGAGAUAGGCAUGCGUCCCAUUAGCUAGUUGGUGAGGUAACGGCUCACCAAGGCGACGAUGGGUAGGGGAACUGAGAGGUUGAACCCCCACACUGGUACUGAGACACGGACCAGACUCCUACGGGAGGCAGCAGUGAGGAAUAUUGGUCAAUGGGCGAGAGCCUGAACCAGCCAAGUCGCGUGAAGGAUGGCUGUCUUAUGGAUUGUAAACUUCUUUUAUACGGGAAUAACAAGAGCCACGUGUGGCUCCCUGCAUGUACCGUAUGAAUAAGCAUCGGCUAACUCCGUGCCAGCAGCCGCGGUAAUACGGAGGAUGCGAGCGUUAUCCGGAUUUAUUGGGUUUAAAGGGUGCGUAGGCGGCCUGUUAAGUCAGCGGUGAAAUCUAGGAGCUUAACUCCUAAAUUGCCAUUGAUACUGGCGGGCUUGAGUGUAGAUGAGGUAGGCGGAAUGCGUGGUGUAGCGGUGGAAUGCAUAGAUAUCACGCAGAACUCCGAUUGCGAAGGCAGCUUACUAAGGUACAACUGACGCUGAAGCACGAAAGCGUGGGUAUCAAACAGGAUUAGAUACCCUGGUAGUCCACGCAGUAAACGAUGAUAACUGGGCGUAUGCGAUAUACAGUAUGCUCCUAAGCGAAAGCGUUAAGUUAUCCACCUGGGGAGUACGCCGGCAACGGUGAAACUCAAAGGGAAUUGACGGGGGCCCGCACAAGCGGAGGAACAUGUGG